GAUGCGCCUUUCACCCACCCUGGCGUCUCAGGACAGGCCUUGCAGAAAUUAAUUCUGGUAUGUAAAUUGGGUGAACCUAAACCGACUUCUACAGAAACCAACUUUGAGCAUGUUACUCAACUUCCUGAUCAGUAGAGUCCAUCUCUUGAAGUUUGCAUGGGGUAUAUGAAAACCACACAGCUGUUAGUAAGUGAAGGGAACUCUGGUUAAAAUGAGAAGAGGAGCUGAGAUUUCUUUGCUCCACCGACUUUCUACUCUCCCUUGGACUUUAAGCGCUUCGUUCCAUGUUUUGAUCUGUUGGGUUAUUCCAACAUAACCUGAGCAACGCAAGAGCAAGAACUUGUUUUCAGAGGAUUUUUGGUGUCCUGCAAAAUACCGCUUAUUUGAAAGCAGAGUUGGACGAAUGGGGUGAAAGAGAAACUGUUCCCAGAACAUCCUAGGGUCUCCGUCGAUCAAGAAAAUUGAAAAUCAGUGUGUUGGACCAAGACUGAAGACGUUUGUCUUAGUUCUCAUCUCCUCAGCCUCUUUCUUCAUCUUUAAAACAAAAGGGGAAAAUAUGCCUUCAUUAUUUUGUUAAGUUGUGAGGGUCCAAUAAAAAUGCGUACCAAGGUUGCUUUGAAAAUCAUUGAAUUUUAUCAAAGUAAGGAGAACAUAGUAUUCAAGAUAAAGGGGGACCUUUAUAGGCAAGAUAUUUUGUUACAACGAUGGAAAGCUAACUAACAAACAUUCACCUGGGUUCACCUCCAAAUAACUUUUGUGGGACUCAAGUGGCCAGAUAAAGCAAUGAAAAUGUGAAAGCUCAUGCCGCCUGCUGUGCCAUGACUAAUAAAGUCUACUUAAUCUA